AUGAAAUGUAAUAACUAUUUUAUUUUUAGUGUUGGCAUUACUGCAUUGUGUCAUUUUGCUUAUUUUACACAGAUCGUCAAUGUGAGGUUGAAAUUCAACAAGCUGACAGGAGACACUGUGACAUUUGAGGCUCCUGGGGGGCCGUACACUAUGGAGGUCGAGAAAGGACGCAAUAUGUCGCAGAUUGGAGGAGAUGGAUGGGCCCGUUUCGUCGCUCGCAUGCAUCUUACUGGUGUUGAGUUGAUCAGCUUCAACUUCCGAGCAGAAAGACCCAAGCUAGCUAUCAUUUAUAUCAACCUGGUGGAAGAUGAUGAAGAUGAUGAAGAUGAUGAAGAUAAUGAGGACCCACUCGAUGAAGAUGAUGAGGACCCACUUCAUGAAGCCAUCGUAGCUCAAAGAACAAGGCUGAGUGAGGAGGAGGUGUCCAACCUGUGGGACAUCAUUCCGCCACGUGCUGACUUUGUCGGGGUGCCAUUCGUGACCCGCUUGACAAAUACCAUGGUUGAUCGACAUGAUAUGGUAUGUUAUACUUACAAAUGCAAAUUAAUAGUGUGA
rnacentral:rRNA from 1 species